GAUGAACGCUGGCGGCGUGCCUAACACAUGCAAGUCGAGCGAACCCUUCGGGAUGAGCGGCGGACGGGUGAGUAACGCGUGGGUAACCUGCCCUAUACACACGGAUAACGUACCGAAAGGUACGCUAAUACGAGAUAAAGUUGUUGGGUGGCAUCUUCUAACAAUCAAAGCUCCGGCGGUAUAGGAUGGACCCGCGUCUGAUUAGCUAGUUGGUGAGGUAAUGGCUCACCAAGGCGACGAUCAGUAGCCGACCUGAGAGGGUGAUCGGCCACACUGGAACUGAGACACGGUCCAGACUCCUACGGGAGGCAGCAGUGGGGAAUAUUGCACAAUGGGCGAAAGCCUGAUGCAGCAACGCCGCGUGAGCGAUGAAGGUCUUCGGAUCGUAAAGCUCUGUCCUCAAGGAAGAUAAUGACGGUACUUGAGGAGGAAGCCCCGGCUAACUACGUGCCAGCAGCCGCCGUAA
rnacentral:rRNA from 1 species